GAGUGUCUUCACCUUCAUUGCC
rnacentral:siRNA from 1 species